rnacentral:misc_RNA from 1 species
ACAUAUGUGCUCGCCUUCACACUCUUCAUCCACUCAACCCCUGUGCACUUUAUCAGAGUUAGUAAUAGUAUUGUGGUGGCGGCCAUUUGUUGUUAUUCAUUGUUAGAAGCGGGGGUAACCCUGUCUGGCAAUAGUAAUGAUAAUAAUCUUGGUUCUACUACUACUACUACUAUGAACACUUUGACUUUUAUUUACAUAAACACUUUGCUUGUUCUUGUGAAUGUGUAAUGCUCCUUGUGAGCGAAAUACAAAUAUACAACUUUCAACAACGGAUCUCUUGGCUCUCGCAUCGAUGAAGAACGCAGCGAAAUGCGAUAAGUAAUGUGAAUUGCAGAAUUCAGUGAAUCAUCGAAUCUUUGAACGCACCUUGCGCCCCUUGGUAUUCCGAGGGGCAUGCCUGUUUGAGUGUCAUGUAAUUCUCAAUCCUCUUCUUCUUAACUGAAGAAAAAGAGGCUUGGACUUGGAGGUAUACACAAGCUGGUACUGUUUGGUAUCGGCUCCUCUCAAAUACAUUAGCUGGACUGUAGUUCGCAUUGUUUGGUGUAAUAGUUCUAUCUUAUUUCACUACAGUGCUUACUUAGACGGGUCUGCUUCCAAUAGUCCGCCUAUGUGU